GGCAGCAGAACUGUUGCAUGCCAUCCCGCGUGUGUCCCUUCCUGCUGUGGCUGCCGCUCCCACCUCUCCCAGCAAUUCCUCCCUCCACUGGCCCAGGUGGCCUGUGCGGCCCACGUGAGGUGGCCAUGAAGACCAUGCUGCUCCCCAUCCUGGCUCUUUGGGUGGGCUGCUGCCCCAGAGGGGCCCUGGCCAAGCAGGGGCCGAGCCUGAGAGAGCCCAUGGCUGCGCCAACACCCGGGAGCUUGCAUACCCUGCGGCCACCACCGCCCAGCCAGCCUAGGACCCCCGAUGGUCAGGUGCGACCAAUUCCCAGGAACGGCGACCCGGACAGGCCUGAGGACGGAGCCCACGGAGACCCCGCCCAGCCCCCAGCCCCUGGCUGGAAGGCCCCUGCCAGACCAGGGCUGGCCCAGAGGAAGGAGCUGCCCCCAGCAGCCUGGGAGCAGGAACAGGGUCAUAACAAGGAGCCCAGCACCGAGUGGGCCCAGCCCCAGGCCACAGCGGCAGCAGGGGCUGAGGCAGCAAAGCCCCAGGCCGCCAAACUCAGGCCCUUGCAGGCCAGCAGGGCCCCCCGAGCCCAAGAUGGGGCAGUGGCUGGUGAGAAGGGCCAGGGCAGGAAGGCGAGAGUCCGCGAAGCCAGGAGCAGAGGCCUGAAGCUCGGGAGGCCCCCCAAAGGGUCCUCCCACCAACCUGGCCGAGGGGGCUGGCGUCAAAAGAAAGACCGCAGCCAAGGCCAUGGUGGCAGCAGCAUCCUGAGGACCACAGGCCAUGGGGAGAAAAGGCCCGGAAGCAGUCAAGGACAAGGG
rnacentral:lncRNA from 1 species